rnacentral:rRNA from 1 species
UACGUAGGGUGCGAGCGUUAAUCGGAAUUACUGGGCGUAAAGCGUGCGCAGGCGGUUUCGUAAGUCAGAUGUGAAAGCCCCGGGCUCAACCUGGGAACUGCGUUUGAAACUGCGAGGCUAGAGUGUGUCAGAGGGGGGUAGAAUUCCACGUGUAGCAGUGAAAUGCGUAGAGAUGUGGAGGAACACCGAUGGCGAAGGCAGCCCCCUGGGUUAACACUGACGCUCAUGCACGAAAGCGUGGGGAGCAAACAGG